rnacentral:tRNA from 1 species
UCCCUGGUGGUCCGGUGGCUAAGACUCCCGCUCCCAAUGCAGGGGGCCUGGGUUCAAUCCCUGGUCAGGGAA